AUCAUCUUUGUAGCAGAUCUUCAGUUUCCUCCGAAGCCCAGCAUUCCUGAUGAAGGCCUCUUGUUCCGAUGAGCUGUUUUCACUCUGUUCCCUCCAGUCCCUUCUUUCCUGCCAGAGGUUGGGUCAGCCUCCUCCUGACCUUUUGCCCAGUUCUGUCCUCGGAAGCAAGUUCUGACCUCUUGUCCCUGCGACCCUUCUGUUACCCUCAGCUUGGAUGCUUGUUGUGCAGUUGGGCUUCUGUCUUCUGGCUGAUUUUACUCGCAUAAGCAAGUUCGGUGUGUUUCAGUAUGGGUCCAAUCUUAUCUCUGUGGCCCACCUUUUGACCCUGUUUCUUGCCACUGUCUUUGGCAUGUGGGGACUGGCAACAGGAUCUGUUCUCAAAGUGGGUCAAACCUGACGAAUCUUCAAAACAACAGAUCUCAGAAACACUGAUUUUGGAGCAGUUCCUGAGAAUGGUUCAUCCAGACCUAGAAGUAUGGAUCCGUGAGUGAGACCCCAAGACAGCGGUAAGAGCAGCGGAACUGGCGGAGGUUUUUCUGGCUGCAAGGAAAGGAUCCGGUCGGACGAUCAUUGGACAAGGUUCUACACGGUUCCAGAGGGAGAGGGACAGAGAAAAUGGACCCAGAGACCAAGCCCGGAGUAAGUCCGAUGGGGGUGAAAGGGGUUUUGGUCCACAUAGGGCAGGGUCUAAACCAAGGCAGUUUACAGCUAAUAAGUACCAUAAGCCAAAUCCUGCUAAGUUUUCAACGAUCCAGUAAAGAGGUUAGAUGUUGUGUGUAAUGAGUUAGGCCACACCCAAUAUUCUUGUCCUCUAACCAAUAAGUCGAAACCUUCCCUUUACUGUGCAGUACCUAGACCUGGGUUGCCAAAUUCUGUAGAAACUACCCAGAAAGCACUUACCACACCAGUACUAAUUAAUGGUCAUCGUGUUAUGGCAUUAUUAGAUACAGGUGGAUUUCAGUCCAUGGUUUCUGCUGACCUAAUAUCCAGAGAAAAAUGGAGGGAGGAUAAAAUCAGUAUUAGCUGUGUUCAUGUGACAGACAUCAGUAUGCUAUGGCAGAUGUGUGUUUAACGGCUAGUGGCCAGACCUUUUUGCUGCCAAUGGCUUUAGCUUCAAGCUUGCCAUUUGAGGUGAUUUUGGGUAAUGAUGUACCAAUCCUGCUAGAUUUAGUGCAAGAGGCAGAAAAAUCAUCAGAGCUAGAUCCAUCUAAACAUUUGGCUGCAGUCUCACUGAGUGUAGCUAAUCCACCUACAGGGUUUAACAUGGUUGUGACAAGAUCUCAGAGUGCUAGUGAGACCUUAAAGGAAUUGCCAUUCUGGGGGGAAGAUCUUGAACUUGGGAAAGGCAAACCUAGGAAAUCAAAAGCACAAAGAAGAAGAGAGAAACUGAGCAGAAAUGGUAGUAAACAGAUGGAAAGUUUAAACAUUUCUCUUCAGUUGAGUUAAAUCUCCCUUCUGAUGUAGCUAAGUUGCAGAAAGAGGAUGUUACCCUGAAACCCUGGUUUAGCAAGGUGAUAGAGGUUGAGGGAGUAAAGCAAGGUAGCUUGGGAUGUUUAGAGGAUGCAACAUAUGUCAUUAAAGAGCAAGUAACGUCGAAAUUAACUUUUUUUUUGCUGAUGAACUGUAUAAAUGAGUGUCUAAUAGUGUUUUAAAUGUGUGUAUUCAUUAUUUUAGCAUUUUGGUGCAUUUUCUUUAAAAAUUAAAAAUUCUGCCUAAAUACCACAGUAUAGCUCCACCUUCAGCUUAAAACAUAGAAUUUGACACAUUUUGAAUAAAUUUUAGCCAAUGGCUAAAGAGUAAGAUACUACAUAAACCAGUAGAGUACUACGUAGCAGCUCUGUGUCAAAGUUAUAAAACAACGAGCGUCUCGGCCACGCCUUGUGGUGAGUUGGGAGUUGGAUUUGCAAGCGAGUGUAGGAGGCCAGCCGUAAUUCAGCAUUAGCAUAUAGCAUUAGCAUAUCCUAGUCUUUAGCGUAGCCUUUAGUGUUAUACAUACUUAUUUAGUGUUAGCUUGGCUGUUGGAUAUUGUAGUUUAGUUAGUGUUUGGCUGUUAGUGUUAUUAGGAAAGUAGGUCGGGUUUAGUGCUCCAUAUCGUGUUAGUAUGGUGAGAAGGUGUAGUGCAGUGGGUUCGGUGGCUCUGUCGGGUUGCACUCCUUUCCGCUGGACUUAGAAAUUAGGCGCCAGUGGUUGUGCGCAAUCGGUGUCUGGAAAACAUUCAGCUCCCGCCUGGUGCUGUAGUUUGCAACCAGCAAUUUACCCGUGAUCCUGCACGUCUCCGUUUGAAGAGGGAGGCUGUGCCCACCGUGGCUCUUCCGCGAUUUAGAUGCAGCCCACCGACUUUGCUCCCCCACCAUGACGGGCUCCAGUCUGAGGUGAGUAAGCUAAAUAAAAGUUUUAACAUCUUCUAAAGACAAUUCCCUUCCUAAAUGCAAAGUUUGAGAGACGUGGUUCACUCCAUUUAGCUAAUAUCAGCCUGCACUGCCUUCGGGCUGAUUUGUCAAGUUCACAAAAUGUGGAACGGGAUGUAAGGUUAGAAUCAGCGGCGAAUCGGAGCAUAUCUCGUAGCCCUGGCCGACAAAACAAUCCACAUGACUGUCAGGCUCAGAAAAUUCGGGUUGUUUUUGUGUCAGUCGGUAAUUCUGCAACAGUGGCUCUAACUGACGCAGCACUAGUUGACAGACAUCAUUACAGCAUGAAAUCAGCACAGCGUGACCCGGUUCCGUGAGGAAUUCUGUUCAGGAGGUCGCAUUUCAGGCUCUCCACAUCAUAUGUGACUGACUUUUAUGUUAUAAUAACAUCACACACUAGGAAUGUUAUAAAGCACCUAUAUAGGACAGUUUCUUUUGUAUAUUAUCUGACUUUAUAAACAUCAAUGUGCUUCUAUUUUUUUUCAGGCUAAAUCUACCCAAGACACUGGCUGUCAGACUGAUUUAGUAGUCUGCAAGAAUGCACUUGUCCAGGCUGACGUGAAGCGUUACCCGUAGCAAAGGUGAAUUAUUUUUAAUCUUCUAUGUAAACAUUUUAUUACCUUCUAGUUUUAAUUUGUUUUACAGAUUGUUACACGUGAUUUUAUGCUCUUUUAAACAUUUAUAAAUGUGCUGCUUCUUUGUUUUUUAUAGAGCUCACAGCCGCAGUGUGUCUUGUGACACAGGGACCAUGACAGAAAUUCAUCUUCCAGAAGGUCCCAGAGCAGCAUCCACACCUCCUGAAAAGACCAAGAUGUGAGGUGUCUGCUGUUGAUUCCAGCUUCCACCUCAGUGACAGUGCAAGCUCAGUGAAAUGUUCAAGGUAAAAAAAAAUUAAAACAUUUCAGAAUUUUUAAGAUAUUAACAAUUAAAUAAGUAUGUGAUUACAUAAUGACAUCAUGAAGGAGGCUACUGAUUCUGGCCCUGUGACACUUGGUGGUGACGUGUGAGCUGAUUCACCUGGACACUCAGCAAAAUAUGGACUCUACACCAUGAGGCAGGCACACGUUAAUACUUAUAAGAGCACAUAAGCCUGGCUGAUCACCUGAUAACUCCUGUCAUCUGGUUAUGACAGCAUGAGUGUGUCCUCACACACCUGUAACCUAUCAGCUCAUCUGGCAGAAUAGAGAGAGAAGAGACAACACCACAUCUCCUGUUCCUGGAAAGCCUUCAGCCUUCCUUCGAUGACUGAGAACCUCCAUCAGCUCUGUCUCCUGUCUGCCUACAAUUAUUAUAAUAAAUAUUGUGUUUGACAA